GAUGAACGCUGGCGGCGUGCCUAAUACAUGCAAGUCGAGCGAACAGACGAGGAGCUUGCUCCUCUGACGUUAGCGGCUGACGGGUGAGUAACACGUGGAUAACCUACCUAUUAUACUGGUAUAUCUUCGGGAAACCGCCGCUUAUACCGGUUAAUAUAUUUAACCGCAUGUUUCAAUAGUUAAUGACGGUUUUUCUGUCUCUUUUAGAUGUUUCCGCGCCGCAUUAGUUAGUUGGUAAGGUAACGGCUUACCACGGCAACGAUGCGUAGCCGACGUGAGAGGGGGAUAGGCGACACAGGAACAGAGACACGGAACAGAGUCCGACGGGAGGAAGCAGAAGGGAAUGUUGCGAAAUGGGAGAAAGCAAGACGGAGCAAGGCCGCGUGAGUGAAGAAGGUGUUAGGAUCGUAAAACUCUGUUAUAAGGGAAGAAAAAAAGUGUAAGUAACUAUGAAAGGAAUGACGGUACCUAAGAAGAAAGCAACGGCUAACUACGUG
rnacentral:rRNA from 1 species